AUUAAAUUGAAAAUAGUGGUUGAAAAGUGCGUUUUAAAACAGCUUAAAGAACUUUUAAAAAAAGUAAUAUUAUCGUUGUUUUUUCAAUAAGAUCACAGUUUAUAUAAGUUUUUAAUACACCUGGAAAUACCACAACAAACGAAUCUAUUCACGCGUCGAAUCAUGAUUUUGUUAACAUUCAAAACGCACACACAAAUAAAAACAGGCCUCAGAUUUUAAAUGUAACAUUAAUUAAAAAUCCGAGAUAUCCAAUUAUGAGUGAGUGAAUUAAUUGAGUUUAGUUAUUUAGCUUAGAAAGAAUUUCUUUUAUUUUUGUUAUUAUUGGCAGUAAUCAGAUAAAGCUGUUUUUUUAUCUUAUUCACCUGAUAUCUUACUCUUGCUCAAAGAUUAUUUUGAAAAUGUUGAUUAAAUAAAAUUGUAUUAUUGCA